rnacentral:rRNA from 1 species
UACGUAGGUGGCAAGCGUUGUCCGGAUUUAUUGGGCGUAAAGCGCGCGCAGGCGGUUUCUUAAGUCUGAUGUGAAAGCCCACGGCUUAACCGUGGAGGGUCAUUGGAAACUGGGAGACUUGAGUGCAGAAGAGGAAAGUGGAAUUCCAAGUGUAGCGGUGAAAUGCGUAGAGAUUUGGAGGAACACCAGUGGCGAAGGCGACUUUCUGGUCUGCAACUGACGCUGAGGCGCGAAAGCAUGGGGAGCAAACAGGAUUAGAUACCCCCGUAGUCC